UUCAUUUCACCUCCAUGAAAAUCAAUUUUUUUUCAUUUGAUUUUCCUUGUUUUCAUUUCAUUUCCUUUCUUUUCUUACUUCUUUCUUCUCCUAACGUCUUGGGCACCAAACCUGCAGCUUCUAACCCCAUUUUCUAGUACAACCAAACCCUAGGAGAGAGAAGGAAAAAAUCUCUCUUUCUUUCCUUUAUUUUCUAUUUCUACUCCACCAUCACCGACACUUGAAUUUUCAACUUUAAAUCUCCAUUUUUUAGGCUAAAAGGUAUAUAAUUUUAACUCCUGGAAUUUAUGAAUUUAUGGGUUAUAUUUUCAGAUUUUAUUUCCUAAUUUCUUCAAAUUCUUUUUCUUGGAAAUAUUAGGUUUUUGUUGAUCUUUAUGCCUCCAAGCUCACCAAGGUGAAGAACCUUUAAAUUGGAAUAGUUGAUAUGAUGGGUUUGAGAAUUAGACUAGAAUUCUAGGUUAAAAAUUAGGCUAGAAUGUAGUUUAUCAAGAGUAUGCUUAAUAGAAUUAUUAAGGUUAAGUUUAUGAUAUAUUUGAAGCUAUUAUUGUUUAUUGGCAAUUAUAGGUUUUAAUGGUAUUUCGGGACUACCCGGAUUAAGAUCUUGUGGGUGCUAGUCUUGUUAAGUGGCAUUGUUAAGGUGAGUGAACUUACAUUAAAUUAUUUUUGGGGAAAUACAUAUGUGUUGGGAUAUAGCACUUGAAUGAUUUUAUUUGAUUUUUUUCUCUAAAUCAUGCCUUGGAACAAGCUCUUGAUGAAACAUUUUAUGUUGUAAAAUGUGUAAUGUGAUGAACCCAUGUGUUCCUAUAUUCUGAUGAUAUAUAUUUUAUGCUUUGAAUGAUAAUAUUGUAUGAUGAUUGUAACCACACAUGUGCGGUGUGGGAGUGCACAUGCCGGUGAUGACGGGUGAUUCCAGCUAUGUGUGGUGUGGGAGUGCACAUGAGCUGAUGACUGGUGGAUGAUGAUUCCAGCUAUGUGCGGUGUGGGUGUGCACAUGAGCUGAUGAUCGGUGGAUGAUGAUUUCAGCUAUGUGUGGUGUAGGAGUGCACAUGAUCUAAUGAGCUAGUGGUUGUAUACAUGUUUACACAUAGCAUAGAAAUGUUAGAGAAAAAUUAUGUGAUUGCACUGAAUGUUAAAUGUUGAAAUUGUUAAUUGUUUCCAAAUUGAUUUUCAAUACAACGAAAAAAAAAGACUCUCUGUCUUGCUUGUCUUGCUCAAAUAUUUACUGUGGUUUUCACUUUUUGAUUUCAUAAUGCAUCAUGGAUCCUUCAACACUAAGCGGUUAAAUAAUCAAAGGUCGAAUUGAGGGGUUUUAUGAGGAAUUAAACUAAAUUGCAUUGUUUUUAACAUAAGUGCAUUGUGAUUUCUAAACUUUCCUUAUCGUUUGCUUGUUCCCUUCCUAUGUUCACUCACUGGGUUUAUACUCAUUCUUUUCAACUUUAUGUUUUAGUUUUCAGGCUCAAAGGUAGUUGGAUCCUA
rnacentral:lncRNA from 1 species